rnacentral:tRNA from 1 species
GGCGCUGUGGCGCAGUGGGUUAAAGCCCUGGCCUGAAGCGCCGGUAUCCCAUAUGGGUUCGAAUCCCGACUGCUCCU